ACUUGAUGAUGGGGACAAGUUACACACAGUUUCUUGAAACGCUCCCAAUAUUCGUAUAGAGAUUCCCUAUUGUGCUGCCUCACUCCACAAAUUUCUUUUCUAAUAUU
rnacentral:snoRNA from 1 species